GUUGCUGUUUGAGAACUCUGAAUAUUAAAUAGUUGCCAGAAGAUCAGGAAAAGAAUGGCAAUUUGAAGCAUCAAGGAGUCAGUGAAUUUGUGAGCUCCUGGAUUCUUGAACACCUCCAAAUAUCUUCCAGCUAUGCCUCUUGGAACAUUACCCUGAAGUCUCCCUCUUUCUCUUGUGUGCACCAUGUUGUGCCUGUUUCUGUUGUUUUUGACAUGUGCUUAAUCAACCAUCA